rnacentral:rRNA from 1 species
AUGCGUGCCCGUCGCACACCCACCUCCCCCGACCAUGCCGUCACAGCCUCCUCGCCCAGCGCCGCCACCCCUUCUCAACCCCUCCUCGCCCAGCGCCGCCACCCCUUCUCCGCCUCCGGCGCUGCCCGCCGGCCUGCUCACCCGCGGCACUUAGUCAGGAACCCUAGGAUGGCCGUGCCCAAAAAUUUACUUUACUGUGCCCUCCUUCAGUUUUGGGUGUUCGAUUUGGGAUCUAGAGUUCUUCCCCGCUUGAUUGACUCCAAUAGUUCGAGUGUUUCCAUCAACCCGGAGUCAAAAUCAAGAGCUGUGAACAGGGAGGUACUCAGUGAGCUAAUCAAGUUGCACGGGAAGACAUCCCUUGGCGGCAAAUUGCCUGCCUAUGAUGGAAGAAAGAGUCUCUACACUGCAGGCUCACUCCCUUUUGAGUCUGAGGAGUUCUCUGUUACACUGGUUGAUCCCGAAAAGAAAGACAAAGAAAAGGCUGAAAGGGAGUACAAGAUCACCAUUAGGAUUGCUGGGAGGACAGACCUGUACCACCUCCAGCAGUUUCUCAAAGGAAGACAGAGGGAUAUGCCUCAAGAAACCAUCCAAGUUCUUGAUGUUGUCCUCAGGGAGUCACCAUCCUGGAACUAUGUCACAGUGUCCAGAUCCUUCUUCUCCACCACCUUUGGUCACAGAGGAGACAUUGGUGAAGGAUUAGAGUGCUGGAGAGGUUACUACCAGAGCUUACGCCCAACUCAGAUGGGGCUGUCACUCAAUAUAGACAUAUCUGCAACAUCCUUCUUCAAGCCUGUGACAGUGGUCCAGUUUGUGCUAGAGUUCCUCAACUUACGUGAUGCCUCGCGCCCUCUGACAGACAGGGACCGUAUUAAGAUAAAGAAAGCACUCCGUGGGGUGCGUGUCGAAACAAACCACCAGGAAGACCAAAUCAGAAGAUAUAAGAUAACAGGGAUUACUCCUGUUCCCAUGAGCCAGCUCAUAUUUCCUGUUGAUGAGAGAGGAACAAGAAUGUCAGUUGUUCAUUACUUCAUGCAAAGAUACAACUACAAUCUGCAGUAUACUUCUUGGCCCUGCUUGCAGUCUGGAAGCGAUGCUCGGCCUGUGUAUCUGCCUAUGGAGGCGUGCAAGAUUGUUGAAGGGCAAAGGUACUCUAAGAAACUGAAUGACAAGCAGGUCGCCAACAUACUUAGAGCUACCUGUCAACGUCCCCAGCAGAGGGAGCAAAGCAUUCGUGAGAUGGUUCUGCAUAACAAGUAUGCUGAGGACAAGUUUGCUCAGGAGUUUGGAAUCAAUGUCUGCAGUGACCUUGUCUCUGUUCCAGCCCGUGUGCUGCCUCCCCCCAUGAAAAUGAUCAAUGGAGGAAUCAUAGACAACUGGGCCUGUGUGAGUUUUUCACGCAUGCGUCCUGAGGAGGUACACAGGUUCUGUUGUGAUCUGAUUCAGAUGUGCAAUAUGACUGGAAUGUCUGUCAAUUCAAGGCCACUUGUAGACAACCGAUCAGCGAGCCCCAACCACAUUGAGAAUGCUUUGAGAGAUGUCUACAGGAGGACAACGGAAAUGCUUCAAGCAGGGACACGAAAAACAGCUACAACUGUUAAUUGGAAAAUCAAGAAGGUAUGCGAGACUGACCUUGGGAUUGUGUCUCAGUGUUACCUGCCAAGAUAUGCUGCCAGACCGAACAAGCAAUAUCUGGAGAAUGUUGCACUCAAAAUCAAUGUGAAGGUCGGACUGCCACCUUCCAUUGAGAAGGCCUUUGCUCGAUUUGGUGUUCCUGCUGUUACAGAAGUCCCAACAAUCAUCUUUGGUGCUGAUGUUACACACCCCCCACCUGGAGAGGACUCCACAUCAUCUAUUGCUGUGGUGGUGGCAUCAAUGGACUGGCCAGAGAUCACCAAGUACAGAGGUCUUGUCUCUGCUCAACCACACAGGCAGGAGAUAAUCGAAGACCUCUUCAGUGUCAGCAAAGAUCCGCAGAGGGGCAAUGUCAAUGGUGGCAUGAUCAGGGAGUUACUGAUUGCCUUCCGCAGGAAGACAGGCCGGAGGCCUGAGAGGAUACUCUUCUACAGGGAUAGUGUGAGUGAAGGCCAGUUGAGCACUGUACGUUUUCAUGAAAUGAAUGCAAUCAGGAAGGCCUGUGCUGCUUUGGAGGAGGGGUAUAUGCCCCAAAUUAUAUAUAUUGCUCUUGAUAAAUGGCACUAUACUCAUGCUCGUUGCACCCGUGGGGUCUCUGUUGUCCCACCGGCGUACAACGCCGACCUUGCCGCAUUCCGUCCGCGCUACUACGUGGAAGGGGACAGCUCGGACGGCGGGUCAACCCCCAGGAGCAGCAGGAAGAAGGCGAUCCUGGGAGAGGGCCCUGUGGAGGUGCCAAAUAUCAAGGAGAACGACGUCAUGUCCCCUGUUAGUUCAGAGACAGGCGGUGUACUUCAUUUACACACCACCAAUAUUGGCACAAUCAGGGAGAUACUGAUUGCCAUCCGCAGGAAAACAGGCCGGAGACCUGAUAAAAUAAUCUUUCAUAGUGAUAGGGAAGAUGAAGAGCAUCCGAGCCUUCUCCUUGUCAGCGUAUAUGGCACGAUCCGAGAAGCCUGUACAUCAUUGGACGAAGGUUAUGUUCCGUUGAUUGUUAUUGAUGAUUCUCAAGAAAAAAAUCGCAGUCUGUCCCCUGAUAUAAAUGAAAAACCGGAAAAUAAAUCAGCUUCACAAGUAAUGACACAUCUGACUGUUGACUCCCCAAUUGGACCUAUUCCAAUGCAAAUUGAUCUUAAUAGUAAGUCCUACAAGCUUAAACAGAAACUUGAAGAAGUCUUGGAUACUUCUUUGGAGCACUUUUAUAUGCGCGGAAACGGGAUAACUUUGAAGAAUAAUGACCCGUUAAAGACAUACGGUCUUAGGGAUAAUUCAACAAUUCAGUUACUGCCAAGACUUCUUGGGGGCUGUCGUAGGGGUUCAAAAAGGCCCCGGAUGGAACCAGAGCCUCCUAAAUUACUGCGUUUAAAACCAUUAACUCAGCAGUUUACCCUUACUGAGUAUGUGGACAAAUUCUCGCAACUAUUCUUUGCAAGGAGAACACUACCACAUCCCGAAAUUGCAAAUCAAGAGCAGUUUCCAGUUUACUUCACACAUGUUCCAGUGCCACAAAUUUUAGGAAACUUUGUGGCCAAAGUUAUCCAGGAACUUUUAAAAGACGAAGUUAACAAGUCAAAAGACGAAGAUAAGUUUGAUAUUGAGGAGGCGAUCACCGAGUGA